AUUUGAUAUUUCAAUACAUUUCUUACAAAACUAUAAAUGUAGUAACCAUCAUACAUAAUGCAUAUGUCUGUACAAUCUAGAUGAAAAUCUUCUGCAGUCGUUUGGAAAGCAUCCUGGUUAUAACUGCAGCGAGUGACGAGUGUAGCAGUCGAGAAUCAUUAAAGGCGUAUCGCGUAUAUCACGUAUGUAGCUACUAUAUUAGCAAUAAGCGAUGGGCAGUGGUGGCAGUUAUAUACAGCCAUGAGGACUUCGAACUUUUAAGAGACACAGCAAUGCAUAUACGAUUAAUUUGAUUUACAUUUUGCGUGGUUGUUAAUUUACACGCUUCCGGCCAAUCAGCCUAAAGCGCGCCUAAAUAUUGUAACUUUUUAAUUUAAUACAUUUACCUAUCAUCAUUGUGUGUACCUGCCUCUAUAUUAGAUACCUACGCAAUAUAAUAUGACACAACUUCAUCAUUAUUCGUUGGCCAAAAAAAAAAA